UUUAGCUGGUGAGUUAAAAAAAUCCCCUACACCUAACGAUGUCGCAUUGCGCACACACAACAUCGACAGACACGACCAACCAAACACAUUGCUUGCUUUCAGUCUAAUUGUAGCUAACGUUAUCCAGAUGAUUUCCUUAACGUAGCUGAUGAGUGGCCGAUGGACAAACAUUAAUGUUAUAUUGGGAUUUCUAGUCAAUAAGACAUGCUCAACUGUCUCAGCCUCAUGGCAAAGACCACAAAGACCUGUUGGAUGUUUUCCUGUGAUGGAAAGUGUACUGUUAAGGAUACCUGAAUGUGCUGGGAUCCACAUGAAGACACAACACUGGACCGGGAUGCAGUGAGGGAACUUCACAGUCUAUUUCAGUAGGUUUACUGUGAUUCUACACACACACAGUUGAUGAAUGAGGAAAAUGAAAGGGAACGAAAAGUAGAAGAGG